CCUACGGGAGGCAGCAGUGAGGAAUAUUGGUCAAUGGGCGAGAGCCUGAACCAGCCAAGUCGCGUGAGGGAGUACUGCCCUAUGGGUUGUAAACCUCUUUUGUCGGGGAGCAAAAGCCGGACGUGUCCGGCUGUGAGAGUACCCGAAGAAAAAGCAUCGGCUAACUCCGUGCCAGCAGCCGCGGUAAUACGGAGGAUGCGAGCGUUAUCCGGAUUUAUUGGGUUAAAAGGGUGCGCAGGCGGAUUUUUACGUCAGCGGUAAAAUCGUGGGGCUCAACCCCAUCCAGCCGUUGAAACUGGGGAUCUAGAGUGUGCGAGAGGUAUGCGGAAUGCGUGGUGUAGCGGUGAAAUGCAUAGAUAUCACGCAGAACCCCGAUUGCGAAGGCAGCAUACCGGUGCACAACUGACGCUCAGGCACGAAAGCGUGGGUAUCGAACAGGAUUAGAUACCCCAGUAGUC
rnacentral:rRNA from 1 species